CUGGGCCGGCGGGACUUUGACGCUGGCGGCACUUUGCCUUUCUCCCGCCCUCCCCACCCGGCUGAUACCCCGGAGGCUGGGUCCCGGGGGUCCGGCUCCCGACAGAGGGCUGCGCUGGAGGAGCCGGGCACGCCCAGGCCGGGCGGCCGGUGGGCGAGGGAUGCGGGCUGCGCUCCCACGGCGCGCGCCGGACACUUGGGGAGCGGAAACGGAUCAGCGAGAGCGGCUUCUUGCUCGGGGCACCUCCGGUGCCUGGCACUAAGCGGGCGCGCAAUAAAUAUUUGUUGAAUGAAUGAGCAGUUGACUUCUGCCUUCACCCCCUGGAGCUUGAACCCGCGCCGCGAGCGGGAGAAGCCGGACUCAGGGCAGACUGAAUCUCCCGGGGCCACCGCUUAGAGCCUGGAAAGCAGAACUUUUAUCACCGGAGAGCUGGUGCAAGGGAGGUGGGCUCCUCAGAAGUAUCAGACCGUUUGCUAGGGGAUCCUCUGCAGGGAAAUUGUUUAGAAAGCCCUAAUUUGGAAGUCCUGUAUCCCCAAACUCCGGGGACCCCCCAACCUUAAGCUGAAGAAACUUAGACCCUCAUGCCCAGACCUCCCUUUCCCAACCAGCCAGCAGCCCAGAGAGCAUUCCCGUGGAGAAAGGGCCAAGGCGCAUCCCCGUCUUUUCUCCGUCAACGACUGCCUUUUCUUGACGAAGAUCCCAAAGGGGCUGCGCAUUUGAACCGCCUUGGGCUCCAGGUGGCGCCCUCUCUGGAGCUCCCCUCUUGGAAUUCAUUUCUUCCUGGAGAGACUUGGAGAAUGAAGAUCCAGGGGUUUCUCCCUACCUUGUACCGAGAAGUAACAUUGCAAGUAGAGUAAAUGACCAGCUUAAUUACGUUCACCUUCGAAGAAGAUUCCUCUAGAGAGAAAUUAUAUCCUCCUUGCAGCCUGUGAAGGUUUUCAUGCGUUUUAGGAAUAUAAAAGAAAGGAAGACAAACAUGUAGUAAAGAUAGUAAAGACAGGACCCACUUCUUCACGCCUUCCUCAGCAACUUCUCCAUGUGGCCCCUUAGGAGCUAAAGCGCUCUGCACUGGAUUAUAUGACUUGCCUGUUGUGGACUCAGGGCUUCUCAAAGUUACAUGAAUUCUCCGUGCUUAGGGAAAUUGGAUGACCUCUGUUCUCUGACCAAAGGUAUAUUUCAAAUGUACCAUACAUCAGAAUGUUAAUGCUCUUAUCCAGUGGAACUGGGUUUCUACCAAAGCGAUUUCAACUGCCUCAUCCCACUUUUGCAUUGAAGUCUUCUUCUUCCAAAACUAGAGGUUUGAAUUUGGGUGCCAGAGAUUUCAAAUUUGACAAUGGCUUUAAGAGAGUUGGAGGAAAAUGGAAAAUUUUAAUUACAGCUUUCAGUAUGUUUAUCAUUUCCUUUUGAAAACUGAAAUCCACUCACUUUGCUAUAUCAGAUGGCUAAAUCCUAGUGUGAAUGUCCUUUUAAAUCAUAAAAGCAGAGCUUUUCAAAGUCUUUUAUUAGAAUGAGGCUUAAAAUUAGACAGUUAACCAGACAGGCAGUUGGAAUGACAGCGUGAUGCCCAGAAAUACCCUUUUUUUUUCCUCUGAUAUCUUUUCAGAAGAAACAUUAAGCAUAUUCCACAGAGAUCUUCAGACUCCAAAACCCACACAAAUACAAACACACUUAAGCACGCACAGACACUCACAGGCUCUGCUUGAAGGAGCCAUGGAGAAAGAAAUGAGGGUAAGUGGCUUUGAGGGUUAGUUUGACAUGAGUAUUGUGACUAACCCUUACAAUGCCUUAGAGAAUAAAUGGACAGGAUGUGAAGAGAACUGGCAAGAGCCUCACCUCCCUGUUGAUUACCAGGCUUGUUUUUGCCAAAUCAGGCUGGUCUGAUGGCUUCUCUAUGAGAUGCUGUGGAGUCGUUUAAAGUGUCUUUUUUCUCUCUCUCUCUAGAUAAAAGAAGAUUAUUCUGUGAUCCUAUACGAGUCAGUGGCUAAUGGAACUACCAAAAAAAUGAUAACAAUGCAAAUAAUGUAAUUGGUUCUAAGCAGUGCUUUGCAGGCUCCUAAGGAUGGUUCUAAGUAAGCCAGGAGUAGGUGAUACAUUGUAAUUCUGGGACCCAUGAGCUUAGCAGGACAAAGGAAACCAUGAAUCACCCUAGUCCCAGAAGUACCUUUUCAUAGGCCCCAGGGAUUCCAACAUCAUUAUUCACUCUCCACUCUGCAAGUGACUUAGGUCGUGAGCAUCUCUGAGUCUGCACAGGCUCUGCCAUGUGGCUGUGGGGGUCCGGCUUCUCUGAUGGAUGGGAAGAUAAUGCUCGGGGCUCCAAUGCUAUUAUCUCCUCAUCUCUGUCACAAGGAGAUUUAUACUUAUGAUUUACCCUUUUCAUGAACAUGGGAAAAUUCUUUUUUCUAGUGUUGUUUCUGGAAUGUUCUUUGCUGUGUCUAAAUGAGCUGAUUCCACUGUUGGGAGAGGUGGAUGAUGUGAGCAGUAAGAAGGCAUUAGUUUCUUGAAAACUAGAUCCAUAUUUAGGUGAGAUGAAAUCAAACUACCUGAUUUUAAAAAAAACAAACUAUGUUUAUUUACCGUAUGUCUUGAUUCCUAUAUACAUUGAAAAAUUAUAUUCAUAAAACUGUUUAAAAUAAGAGAUGAUGGGCUGGACGCAGUGGCUCAUGCCUGUAAUCUCAGCACUUUGGGAGGCCAAGGCGGGCAGAUCACUUGGGCCCAGGAGUUCGAGACCAGGCUGGGCAACACGGCAAAACCCUGUUUCUACAAAAAAUGCAAAAAUUACCAGGGUGUGGUGGUGUGUGUCUGUAGUAUCAGCUACUCAGGAAGCUGAGGUAGGAGGAUUCCUUGAGCCCAGGAGGUGGAGGUUACAGUGAGCUGAUGUGGCACCAUUGCAUUCCAGCCUAGGUGACAGGGGGACCCUGUUCCCCCUGCCAAAAAAAAAAAAAAAAAAAAAAAAGAACAAAAAGAGAGAUGAUGAAAACUUAGAAGAAAUGUGGAAAAUGUAUAAUGUAGGCAUAAAUGAAAAUAAUUAGAUUGUCUAUGCCGCAAAAUGAUUGUAGCUAUAGAAAGUCAUAGAUUUACAGGGAAAAUGACCAUAGAAGAACAUGAAUAAAUGACAAAUUUUAUUCAACCUUCUUCAAAACAAAAUAAAGAAAAAUACUUGAUUGCUGAAGUCUCUGGGCUAUGUAGCAAGAGUAGGAAGUUAUUUGCCUAAAUCUGAUCAUUUUUUGUGACAAGAGUGAAGUUUCACUCUUCAGUUCCUUGGGCACACGGACACUAUGACUAUCUUGUUUAGACGACUGUCAUAUUCAGCAGAUUUUUCUUCCUGUUUGUGGUCAGUUAAGAAAACAAGCAUUUAAUCCAGAACUUGUAUUUAAUACCAGAACGAUUUUAUUUUUUCACAGCCACCAACUGUAAAGUAACAAUAAUAACUGCGUAUGAAGUAAUGAGUACUGGCUCCAAAUCACCUUGUUUAAUCCCCAUACAACCUAAUGAGGUAAAUAUAACUCUCCGGUCAUUCCCACCUCACAAAUGUGGCUUAGGAGGUGUCCAGAAAUUACCUACAUAAUUAAUUAGUGGCAAAAUAAAAUCCAGACCCAGACAGCCUGACUCCAGGGUCCAUGCUCUAAAGCAGAGGUCUGCAAGCUUUUGCUAUAAAGGCCCCACUAUGGAUAGUUCCCAGGCUUUGCAGGCCAUAUGGCCUUGUUGCAACCACUCAACUCUGCAGUUGUAGCAGGGAAGCCUCUAUGAGCAAUACAUACAAUGAAUUGAGUGUGGUUGUGUCCCAGUAAAACUUCAUUAGUUGUGUUAGAUCAAGUUUAGACUAAACCUGCCUCCUUACAUAUUUUAAGUUCAGCCUAAAGGUUUCUCUGUACAUAGCGAACUAUAAUCUCAAUGGAAGUGUAAACAGACCAAAACCUAUUCUUGUGCCAAUCACUGAGUUUUGGCCAAUCAGAGGAGGCAAACUGUUAAAACUGUCUUCAAAUAAGGUAAACGCCCAGCUGCUGAGCUGUAACCAAUCCGCCUGUUUCUGUACCCCAUUUCCGUUUUCUGUACCUCAUUUCUGUUUUCUGUACAUCACUUUCCUUCUUCUGUUAUAAAUCGUCUUCCACCACGUGGCUGCACUGGAGUUGCUGAGCCUACCCCGGCUCAGGAGGCUGCCUGAUUCUCAAGUCGUUCUUUGCUCAAUUAAAGUAUGUUAAAUUUAAUUUGGCUAUGGUCUUUCUUUUAACAGUAGAUUUGAAAUUUGAAUUUCAUGUAUUUUUAUGCAUAUGAAAUAUUAUUCUGGCCAGGUGCAGU
rnacentral:lncRNA from 1 species